rnacentral:miRNA from 1 species
CUCCAGAUGUUGCUGAACUACAACUCCCAUGAUUCUCAACCUAUAUAUUUUAUUCAUAGAAUCAUGGGAGUUGUAGUUCAGCAACAUCUGGAG